CAGAGACAUGGACACUGAGUGCAACGGGAUGAGAGGAAUGGAUAACCAGUUAGUGGAGGAUUGCCAGUUAAAGAGGCAAUGAACUAAAUUAUGGAAUAGCACCCAGGUGAUUCCUGAAUGGAGUGUUCACCAGUGAACCAGGUGAAGCAUUCAAAAUGGAAUUGGAUCAAUUUAUGAUUUCGCUAAAGGUUGAACAGAUCCAAGGAUUAAUGAAAGAAACAGUCUGAUCAACAGAACUUUCAUCACUGAGGAGCUGAAGGUGAAACCAGCUCAAGUUUUCUCUCUUGAAUCUUUUUGCGGUCUGGGCUUGCUGUUCCUUUGUCUGACAAUCAGGAAGCCCUUACCCCAAAAAGUAUUUGCGUGGGAUACAGUCUGCAAUGGGGCAUCACUCUACACAGCCAGCAAAUGUAAUUGGCAUCUCAAUAAAGGAUUCAGAAGAGGCAGAAUGUCAACACCCAUUCAGAGCAAAAUAAAUCAUUUCUUUUUCCACAAGUAGGUUUUCCCUAUUGAAGUAAAGGAACGUGGAGGUGAAGGAGAUUUCAGGAGGGAAGGAAAAUUAAAAUGGGAGAUCAGUAGCCAAUGGGAAGGGAAAAGGGAUAAAGAUAGAGCAAACUUUUUUAUAACAAGAGGCUUAUGCACUCAUAUUAUAUAAUUAAACAGGUUACUAUGUAAUGAAGAAAAAUCAUGGCGGGACAUUACAUUUCCAUGAGAUUUUAAUGAGACCUCCUCAGAUAUUAUUGUCCCUAUCACUUAGAGAUACUAUUCUGAGUUUUUCACAUUCCCAAAAUAAGGUACCUGGCCCUUCAAAGCAUGAUCCUUAUGAUGAUUCAUUGUUAUCUUCAACCUGCUAAGAUCCCUAACCUUGUGAUUUAUGGAAUACUCUUUUGGACUCUGUCAUAAGUUUUUCCACUGAGAAUCCCAUAUUUGAAGGCUUUGACUGCUAUCCCAGAUUUGUGGAAAUCAUUGAGUUUCAGUGUGGAAUAUUGUAGCUCAUUGCUGACUCUCUACCUUUGUGACUAUAUUCUGUAAUGUUCUUUCUUCAUCUUGAACAAUGUUCGUAUCAAGAAUUCGGUUCACCUUUCAUUUAACGACCAAGAAACACUGAACAAACCUAGAUGGAAAAAUCCUCUGGAUGGCUCACUUUUCAGAAAUAAGUCCACAUCAUUAAGAUAGUGCAAACUAUGGGGGGAAAGCAAGCUAUGAGUUCCAAGUAUUUCUCAGAGAUAUGAGACAGAAAUAAAUAGAAAACACGGAUAAUCAUGGAUAUUUAGGAAUGAAAUAGGAACAGAAGGAGAUCUUUCAGCCCCUUGAAUCUGUUUCAGUUCAUUAAGGCUGGCUGAUAUCUGUUUUAAAUUCAUCUACUUGGCUUGGUUCCAUUUCUUUUGAUGUCUGAGAAUAAAGUAACCACCUAAUCCCACUUUCCAGCUGUUGGUCUUUAACCAUGUGGGAUACAGAAUUCCAAGGGUAUGUCCAAGCUUUUGUUCGAAAAUGUGAUGUACUUGAGUAACAGUUCAACUUCGUACAGUUCUAGCCUAGUGUUCUUGUUCUUACAUGUUGUACCUUAACUAAUAAAGAAAUCUUGUAUGUUUUCUUAACCAUCACACACCAUUCUGAGAUUACAUGUUUAAAAUGGAAAUCAGUAAAACAUCUCAAGAUGUUUAGAAUGGUAUGAAAACUGAGAAGGGGAGAUAGAAAUCCUUGCUACAUAACCAUAUAACUGUAAAAGAUCAGAUCCCUUGACUUACUGUUCCCUGACUGUUUCUCCAUGAAGAGAUCCCUACAUCACAAUGACCUCUGAAGAUCAACAAUUAAUACCUUUUCCAGUUAUUUUUCAAUCAAGCAUGGGUCUGUUUAAGAACAAGCUUAAUGUGAAGCAACAGAUUGAAGAAUAUGUGAACAGAAGAUGGGGUUGAAAUUGAUUCUAAAGAAACAAUGGUUUGGACCUUUUGUGUGUUUUCAGUUCUGAGGGAAUUCAUUAGAUGGUGGUCCUGUUUCCUCUAUCCCACAUGU